AUUCUCGGUUUAGUUGGGUCCCAGCAGUGGCUGCAGUGCUCUCGUCUUCUGCGGCUCUCUGUGCCCUCUCCUUUUCGCUUCCGGAAACAUGGCCUCUGGUGUGGCUGUCUCUGAUAGUGUCAUCAAGGUGUUCAACGACAUGAAGGUGUGUAAGUCUUCAACGCCAGAGGAGGUGAAGAAGCGUAAGAAGGCGGUGCUCUUCGGCCUGAGUGAGGACAAGAAGAACAUCAUCCUGGAGGAGGGCAAGGAGAUCCUGGUGGGCGAUGUGGGCCAGACUGUCGACGACCCUUAUGCCACCUUUGUCAAGAUGCUGCCAGAUAAGGAUGGAUUGCCGCUACGCCCUCUGUGACGCAACCUAUGGGACCAAGGAGAGCAAGAAGGAGGACCUGGUGUUUAUCUUCUGGGCCCCUGAGCCUGUGCCCCUUAAGAGCAAAAUGAUCAAUACCAGCUCCAAGGACGCCAUCAACAAGAAGCUGACAGGGAUCAAGCAAGAAUUACAAGCAAAAUACUAUGAGGAGGUCAAGGACCACUGCACCCUGGCAGAGAAGCUGGGGGCAGUGUGGUCAUCUGCCUGGAAGGCAAGCCUUUGUGAGCCCUUUCUGGCCCCCUGCCUGGAGCAUCUGGCAGCCCCACACCUGUCCUCGGGGGUUGCAGGCUGCCCCCUUCCUGCCAGAUAGGAGGGGCUGGGGGCAUCCUAGCAGGGGAAGGGCAGUCCCUUCACCCCAGUUGCCAAACAGACCCCCCACUGCCUGGAUUUUCCUUCUCCCUGCAUCCCUGAUGGUUCUGGCCUUCCCAAACUGCUUUUGAGCUUCUGAUUCCUCUUGGGUUGAAGCAGACCAAGUUCCCCCCAGGCAUCCCAGUUGUUGGGGGAGGCCUGUAUUUUUUUUAACAACACCCCCACUCCCCACCUGUUCCUCCCACUUCCCUUGCUGCUGACUCGUAACCGCAAUAAUGACUCUGUGCUUGUCUGUUUAGUUCUGUGUAUAAAUGGAAGGUUGUGGAGAUGACCCCUCCCUGUGCUGGCUGGUUCCUCUCCCUUUUCCCCUGCUCACUGCUACUCAUGCAAGCAGGACCAGUAAGAGACUUUUGAUUAAAAAAAAAAAAAA